GCAUACAAGUCAUUUACAAAUCAUGUGGAAGCAAUGUGCUGGGUGGUAGAGGAGAUAGUUCUGCUGAAAGAGGCCCCUUAGCCUCCUGUGCGUCUUAUCCGUGCAGUGGAUGGCCAACUGGCUUCCAUCUCAGGCUGACUGAUGGGCACAGGCUUAGCUGGAAGAUGUUUGUGGCCUUUCGUCACCCUCAAGCUCAUAAAACCCCGAGGAAGCUAUGACUUCGUCACUUUACGACCUCGCUUCAUUUCCUGUUCUGAGGACAUUGCUCUGUGCGAAUGACCUCAGAACUGCCUAGAAGCCGAGAGCUGUGUCGUCUGGCUUACGUUGAGCUGUGCUUCAAGUUCCAGCCUCAAAGUGGUGACACUCCUCCAGCCCCUUGGACCAUGCGGAGACCUGCACCACCUACCUACAUCUCUAUGUCUGGGCCAGCAGUGUUGCCUGGCUUCUUGGCAAAUCCCUGGUUUGCUUGGUUCUGGGUAGGUAACCUGUGCCCAGAAGAGUGAGCCAUCUCAGGAUGUCCUCAGAUGAAGGAAGACGACACAGCUCAUAUCCUGGAGGGGAGCAGGAAGUCCAAGCUGAACCCUCCCACAGAGGUCCUCGAUUGAGUAGAGCUACCCCAGGGCAGUGUGGACAGUGGGAGAAGUCCUGAGCUAAUGUGUGCUGUGGUCAUGUCAGGGACUGCGGUGCCUCAGACCAAGAGAAUGGCAAAGCCUUUCCUGAGUGAGGCUCAGAGGGAAGGAAGCCUCCUCUGUCCUGACCUGGAAUGCUGACAGUAUGUGUACAAACUGUCAACUACAGCUUCCUCCUCCCUGGUGACCCCAGCCUGAGACUGUGCCCCUACAGAGACCCUGUUCUCAGAUCAGCUAAAUCUGCCUCCUUGUUCAGCCAAAUGCCAUAAACUCCCUGAUUCAGA
rnacentral:lncRNA from 1 species